GCCAGCAUGGAGUAGUGGUUUGCAUGUUAGACUACAACUCUGGAGACCAGGGUUUGAAUCCUGGCUCAGCCA